UUUACAGAAAGGCUUUACACGCUAUUUAAACUGCCGAUCGCUAACGGAACGAACCGUGAUUGAAACUAACUGUGAUGCCGCUCUUUAAACGUUGUACUGACCGUCAGUGACAGCCCCGCCCCUCUUAAAGCGCCAGACAAAGUUAUCAACGUGGGUUUCCCUGGAUGGAUUUUGUUCGAUUUCUUUGUGAUCUUUGCGGUCCUCUGGCCCACUUUAUACCUGUGGACGAAGGAUUAGGGGCUCUAAUCCCUCGUUGUAUCCGAUGACGGGCAACCCGAGGCCAAGGCCAAGGACUUGACUCAGAGGCCGAGGACCUUUGGUCCUCGAGCUGGUCAUUGGCCUCGAGGACCGGCUCGAGGAACACAUCACUGCCAAAUUUCCAACUAAAUCAACUUUUCAAAUGUCAGCUUCUUUCUCCAACUUUGAAACCAUACAGUCCGCUUCCUGGAGUCAAGUGCUGUUGAAUAAACAUAUCUCCAAAACA